AUUGAACGCUGGCGGCAUGCCUUACACAUGCAAGUCGAACGGUAACAGGUCUUCGGAUGCUGACGAGUGGCGAACGGGUGAGUAAUACAUCGGAACGUGCCUAGUAGUGGGGGAUAACUACUCGAAAGAGUGGCUAAUACCGCAUGAGAUCUACGGAUGACAGCAGGGGAUCGCAAGACCUUGUGCUACUAGAGCGGCCGAUGGCAGAUUAGGUAGUUGGUGGGAUAAAAGCUUACCAAGACGACGAUCUGUAGCUGGUCUGAGAGGACGAUCAGCCACACUGGGACUGAGAAACGGCCCAGACUCCUACGGGAGGCAGCAGUGGGGAAUUUUGGACAAUGGGCGCAAGCCUGAUCCAGCAAUGCCGCGUGCAGGAUGAAGGCCUUCGGGUUGUAAACUGCUUUUGUACGGAACGAAAAGCCCCGGGUUAAUACCCUGGGGUCAUGACGGUACCGUAAGAAUCAGCACCGGCUAACUACGUGACAGCCGCCGCGGUAA
rnacentral:rRNA from 1 species